ensembl:miRNA Gm27509 predicted gene, 27509
UAGGGUGGUGUGAGAAGGAGACUCUUGGGCUGGAGAGAUGGCUCAGCCGUUAAAGGCUAGGCUCACAACCAAAAAUAUA